rnacentral:misc_RNA from 1 species
GUUCAGUUUCUGACAUAGCGC